rnacentral:tRNA from 1 species
GCUAUUUUGGCAGAUUAAUGUUUUAAGUUUAGGAUUUAUUUAUGUAAUUAUAUAUUACAGGUAGUA